GCCGCUUUACAAGCACGGGGUGGCGGCAUCUCCGGCAUCUCCGCUCGGCCGCUCGGGUUCCCGAAUCUCGUCCGUCACGCCACCUAACCUAAAAGCACGGGGGGCGGCCGGCCCCGAGUGAUCACUAGGCGUCGCUGACCCACAGUCACGGACGCAGGAGAUACGUCCACCGGCGACACGAAUAAGCCUCGCAGAACAAUACAGGAUCAGCUCGACCAAUGGAGGCCGUCCUGCGGUGCAAGAUCUGCGUGAGGCAGUACGACUACGGCCAACACGCGCCGCACGUGAUGCCGUGCGGGCACACGGCGUGCCUGCAGUGCCUCAAACAGCUCGCCGACGGUCGGUGCGCGGAGUGCCGCCAGGCAUUCAAUUUCCCCCUCGGAAAGAAUUUCAAUGUGCUGGACAUCAUGGAGGU